rnacentral:tRNA from 1 species
GCAUGAGUGGGGGAACUGGUAUACCCGACCGGCCUUGUGUCCGGUGCCGUAUGCGAAUUGACGCAUGCUGCCCUCCAGUUGGCGCGACAAUUGUCACCCUGCGGGUUCGAAUCCCGCCUCUUGAA